rnacentral:rRNA from 1 species
GAUGAACGCUGGCGGCGUGCCUAAUACAUGCAAGUCGAGCGAAUGGAUUGAGAGCUUGCUCUUAUGAAGUUAGCGGCGGACGGGUGAGUAACACGUGGGUAACCUGCCCAUAAGACUGGGAUAACUCCGGGAAACCGGGGCUAAUACCGGAUAACAUUUUGAACCGCAUGGUUCGAAAUUGAAAGGCGGCUUCGGCUGUCACUUGUGGUUGGACCUGCGUCGCAUUAGCUAGUUGGUGAGGUAACGGCUAACCAAGGCAACGAUGCGUAGCCGACCUGAGAGGGUGAUCGGCCACACUGGGACUGAGACACGGCCCAGACUCCUACGGGAGGCAGCAGUAGGGAAUCUUCCGCAAUGGACGAAAGUCUGACGGAGCAACGCCGCGUGAGUGAUGAAGGCUUUCGGGUCGUAAAACUCUGUUGUUAGGGAAGAACAAGUGCUAGUUGAAUAAGCUGCACCUUGACGGUACCUAACCAGAAAGCCACGGCUAACUACGUGCCAGCCGCCGCGGUAA